UGAAAACGUUUUAAAAUAGUUAUGUUCUUGAAUUUCGUUAAAUUGAAAAAGAAUUGCCAAUUUUUUAUUGGAAGGAGAUUAUUCUUCUUCAGUUCAGCGAAAAAUAUAAUAUAGGAGGAAGAACAAGA
rnacentral:sRNA from 1 species